ACUGAGCCAUUUGCUCUUGUGGUGCUCCUGAUCCAGCAGGGAGAAUCAGUGAAAACUAAAUUGCAACACAACUUGGAAAAUGCCGCACCAAGGUCCUCUGCAGUCAUUUCCUGAUUAACAGUGGAUCCAUUUAGUUGAAUUGUGGUCAGACUGGUUGUGUCUGUGGACAUAGAAAUACCGAUGACCUGAUUUCCCCCAGGAGUCUUUCAGCUUCGGGACAGGACAUGACAGAAGCUGAGAGUGACAACGUUGGCUUCCCCAGAAGCAGAUCCUGAAAUAAUGAAUGUGAAAGUGGUGCAUUAGGAAGUGUGCACCUGAAAACACUGGUAUGGUUGUGGGGCAGUGGGCUUGUGUAGGGGAGGAGACCAAGCAAGGCUGUGAUGUCAAGCAAAGGCCCGUGGAGGUUGACUUUGGCUCAGCUCCACAGAGGAGCUCGGGAAACGGUGUAGGUCAUACUUCAGAGCUGCCCUAGGCAGGGGCCAGGGAGCUGCAGCAUUGAUAACCUGUACCCAUCAACUGAAGGCUGUUCCCAGGGACUCUGCCCAUUGCACUCACCCCCAGAGUGGGUUCCAGCUGCCGCAGGGCAGCCGUUUAUCAAAGUGAGGGAGCAAUGUGGGUUCUGUCGGGAGUUAAAUGCACUAGGAGCCGCAUGCCUUGGAUGGUCAGAGUUCCCUGGGUGAGGUGGGCAGGGUUCUGGCUAAUGACCCCCCACAGAGUCCUAAUAUGUGACGGUCUGCAGAAGGCUCUGGAACCAUUUAGAAGAAGGGCUUUCUUCAUCAUCUCUGCCUUUACUGGACCAAGUCCAAGUGCCAAGUACAAUCGGAGCCCUCCUUACUGUGGAUUCGCCCCUUGGUGUCUGGCAGCUCCUUCUCAUUGGAGGCUUGCCUGGUAACACAGUGAAAGACCCAGUAUCUCUGGGUACCAGGGUGCCUCUGCAUAAUGCACCAGUCCUAGGGCACUGGAGAUACAUCUGUGCUUUUUGCUGUAGAUUAGAAUCAGGAGGGUGCAUUUCUCCAAAGGUACCUGGAGGACAGUGACCAGACACACUCCAGGACUGUGCACAUGGAGACAGCCCUUUCCCGAGGGCUCACUUCAUGCCUUUUCCUUGGAUAUCACUCAGUCGUCUCAUUUCACACUAACUCCAGGAGGCAUUUUGCUGUUUUCAUUCCCAUUUUCCAGAUGGAGAUACUGAGGCUCUGAGAGACUCUGCAACUUUAAGGUCUUGGAGUUAGUUACUACCAGAACAAGAAUUUCAGCCCCAACCUUUCAGACUUCCCCUCACCACUCUGCCCUUCAAUUAACCUCAGAGACUUGGGAGCCAGGAGGAAGAUUCUGACAUUGCUAAUUAGAGAGAUACUACAGGGAUUAUAACAAAUCUGGAGAAUGAACUCUAAGAUCACCAGGUGGUGCCUUAGUCCAGCUGCCCAAAUAUGGAAGAGAAUGAGGCUUCAAGGAAGGAUGGUCCCUUCUGUCUAUGGAAUUAACCUAUGUUAAUUUAUUUCCUACUAAAUUUCAAGCUGCAGUGUAGAAGCUUUAAUUAACACUCAGAACCAAGGAUGGGUCCUGUGGGACUGUCCCGAGAAUGUGUGCACACAAGCUCAUCUCUAAAUUCAUCCCUAAUACUAAUUAGCCCCACAAGUUCUCCAAGGGCCUUGUCUGCUAAUUUGGAACCUGGUGAUGAGCUCUAUCUCUGCCUAGCCUUGGAGAUCAAGGACACAAAUCUCUUUAUCUCCAUUAUCAAUGUCAUGCCAAUGGCCCAGGAGGACUAUGGAAUCAUUAAUGACUCCUCAUUGGUUGGCACAGCAACUUGAAGCCCUUCACAAAGUGACUGCCUGGUUUGCUCCUCAACAUCCAACUGUGAUAUAAUGGGGUUAGUUCAGUGGACAACACUGCUGCAGUCUGGUGAGGACAUUGGCCUCACCCCCUACCAUGCUGACCUCGGAUGGAAAUGUACAUUCUCGAGGCUUUGAACACAAAGAUGAACACAAGAACACUUCAGAGGAGCAUGGGGCUGGCAGUUGGAAAGCCCAAGACCUCUUCCCAGCAGCACCAGUUUUUUCCCGUGGAGUUCGUCAUUACUUCUCUGUAUCCCAGUUGCCUUAGCUGUAAAAGGGGGCUGUAAUUCUUACAAAACCCUUGUCCCAGGAUGGUCAUGAGAAUUCCAUGAGUUAAAGCAUCUGCAACGCGUAGAAAAGUGCCAGACACAUUGUAAGCAUAAAAAAUAAAAAUAAAAAAUAAUAAAGUUAUGCUGCUAU